GAUGAACGCUGGCGGCGUGCCUAAUACAUGCAAGUCGAGCGAACGGACGAGAAGCUUGCUUCUCUGAUGUUAGCGGCGGACGGGUGAGUAACACGUGGAUAACCUACCUAUAAGACUGGGAUAACUUCGGGAAACCGGAGCUAAUACCGGAUGAUAUUUUGAACCGCAUGGUUCAAAAGUGAAAGACGGUCUUGCUGUCACUUAUAGAUGGAUCCGCGCUGCAUUAGCUAGUUGGUAAGGUAACGGCUUACCAAGGCAACGAUGCAUAACCGACCUGAGAGGGUGAUCGGCCACACUGGAACUGAGACACGGUCCAGACUCCUACGGGAGGCAGCAGUAGGGAAUCUUCGGCAAUGGGCGAAAGCCGGACGGAGCAACGCCGCGUGAGUGAUGAAGGUCUUCGGAUCGUAAAACUCUGUUAUUAGGGAAGAACAUAUGUGUAAGUAACUGUGCACAUCUUGACGGUACCUAAUCAGAAAGCCACGGCUAACUACGUG
rnacentral:rRNA from 1 species